rnacentral:rRNA from 1 species
AUGGAACCCAGGAGGCAGCGCGACGGCCGGAGACGAGGCCAUGCUUCGGGGAGGCGGCGCGACGGCCGGAGACGAGGCCAUGCUUCGGGGAGGCGGCGCGACGGCCGGAGACGAGGCCAUGGUUCGGGGAAGCAGCGGACGCUAGCGAAGUGCGGGGCUGGGGGCAGCGGCGGCGCUAAGAGGACGCGGGCCGGCGUGGGCGGAGGCGCGGCGAGGCGUGCCGGAGCGCGGGGCUGGGAAGGAGGAGGGGUCGGAGGAGAGGGGCGCGGCGGCUUGGGCGGCGGGGUCUCAAGGGAGAGAGAGAGAGCUGCAGCUGGUGCGCUUCAAGGGAGAGAGAGAGGAGGAAGCACGUGGAGCCAGCGAGGAAAAGCCUCCGAGGAGCCCCCGGUGCGCUGGGUGUCGCAUGCGGGCGCCGGCGCUGUUUUUUGCUUUUCGUGGCGAAAAACGAGCACUUGGGGCACAAGUAGGACUUUUUUGUCCGCCGGCAUCCAAAAAGUGGCUUGGGAAGGGAGCCCUAGUGGAGAUGCCCUUAUGAUGUCCACUUAUAAAAUUACAAAGGCUGGGAUUGGAGGGCCUAUUGUUGAUUGUUUUGGGAAUUUUAUUGGCAUGGACUUCUACAGCUUGAAAGAAACUCCGUACCUGCCCAGAAGUAUAAUCCUGGAAGUCUUGAAGAAUUUUGAUGCAAAUUGUAUCGCCAUGUUUUUUCAAGUUGUAUCACUGCACACAUGUCAAAUGUUUCUUGCAUUGGAGCUCCCACAUAUCGCGCACGCGUGUGUGUAUAAAGGUAAAAAGAAGCACAUAGUACGAGGAGAUGGGAUAUGGAUAUUGUCCGGGAACAUCGAUCUCCUCGACAUGAACACGGAGCUACACAUGAACUGGGGAAGUAGACCUUCACGUGCAUGGAGAGCUAUUCAUGAAGGCAAAGGAUUCUUGAUAAUCAGUUGCCAUGACAUUUUCAGACGAGACCAAGUUGUAUGA